AAAAUGUAGCUUAACAAAAGCAUCUGGCCUACACCCAGAAGAUUUCAGUAGAACUGACCAUUUUGA
rnacentral:tRNA from 1 species